rnacentral:rRNA from 1 species
GAUGAACGCUAGCGGCAGGCUUAAUACAUGCAAGUCGAGGGGCAGCAUGAUUGUAGCAAUACAAUUGAUGGCGACCGGCAAACGGGUGCGGAACACGUACACAACCUUCCAACAAGUGGGGGAUAGCCCAGAGAAAUUUGGAUUAAUACCCCGUAACAUAGCGAUGUGGCAUCGCAUUGCUAUUAUAGAUUUUUCGCUUGUUGAUGGGUGUGCGGCUGAUUAGAUAGUUGGCGGGGUAACGGCCCACCAAGUCUACGAUCAGUAGCUGAUGUGAGAGCAUGAUCAGCCACACGGGCACUGAGACACGGGCCCGACUCCUACGGGAGGCAGCAGUAAGGAAUAUUGGUCGAUGGACGAAAGUCUGUACCAGCCAUGCCGCGUGGAGGAUGAAGGACCUCUGGAUUGUAAACUUCUUUUAUAUGGGACGAAAAAAGGGUUUUCUAACUCGUCUGACGGUACCAUAUGAAUAAGCACCGGCUAACUCCGUGCCAGCCGCCGCAGUAA